rnacentral:rRNA from 1 species
GUGAAGCCCAGCUUGCUGGGUGGAUCAGUGGCGAACGGGUGAGUAACACGUGAGCAACCUGCCCUCCACUUCGGGAUAAGCCUUGGAAACGGGGUCUAAUACCGGAUAUGAGCUCGCAUCGCAUGGUGUGGGUUGGAAAGUUUUUCGGUGGGGGAUGGGCUCGCGGCCUAUCAGCUUGUUGGUGGGGUGAUGGCCUACCAAGGCGUCGACGGGUAGCCGGCCUGAGAGGGCGACCGGCCACACUGGGACUGAGACACGGCCCAGACUCCUACGGGAGGCAGCAGUGGGGAAUAUUGCACAAUGGGCGCAAGCCUGAUGCAGCGACGCCGCGUGAGGGAUGACGGCCUUCGGGUUGUAAACCUCUUUCAGCAGGGAAGAAGCGCAAGUGACGGUACCUGCAGAAGAAGCGCCGGCUAACUACGUGCCAGCAGCCGCGGUAAUACGUAGGGCGCAAGCGUUGUCCGGAAUUAUUGGGCGUAAAGAGCUCGUAGGCGGUCUGUCGCGUCUGGUGUGAAAUCCCGAGGCUCAACCUCGGGCUUGCAUCGGGUACGGGCAGACUAGAGUGCGGUAGGGGAGACUGGAAUUCCUGGUGUAGCGGUGGAAUGCGCAGAUAUCAGGAGGAACACCGAUGGCGAAGGCAGGUCUCUGGGCCGCAACUGACGCUGAGGAGCGAAAGCAUGGGGAGCGAACAGGAUUAGAUACCCUGGUAGUCCAUGCCGUAAACGUUGGGCACUAGGUGUGGGGCUCAUUCCACGAGUUCCGUGCCGCAGCUAACGCAUUAAGUGCCCCGCCUGGGGAGUACGGCCGCAAGGCUAAAACUCAAAGGAAUUGACGGGGGCCCGCACAAGCGGCGGAGCAUGCGGAUUAAUUCGAUGCAACGCGAAGAACCUUACCAAGGCUUGACAUGUACGAGAAAGCCCCCGAGACGGGGUUCUCUUUGGACACUCGUACACAGGUGGUGCAUGGUUGUCGUCAGCUCGUGUCGUGAGAUGUUGGGUUAAGUCCCGCAACGAGCGCAACCCUCGUCCUAUGUUGCCAGCGGGUUAUGCCGGGGUCUCAUGGGAGACUGCCGGGGUCAACUCGGAGGAAGGUGGGGAUGACGUCAAAUCAUCAUGCCCCUUAUGUCUUGGGCUUCACGCAUGCUACAAUGGCCGGUACAGAGGGCUGCGAUACCGUAAGGUGGAGCGAAUCCCAAAAAGCCGGUCUCAGUUG